CAUGGAGUUUGAUCCUGGCUCAGAUUGAACACUGGCGGAAUGCUUUACACAUGCAAGUCGAACGGUAGAGGGGGCAACCCCUCGAGAGUGGCGAACGGGUGAGUAAUAUAUCGGAACGUGCCCAGUCGUGGGGGAUAACGUAGCGAAAGUUACGCUAAUACCGCAUACGAUCUAAGGAUGAAAGCGGGGGAUCGCAAGACCUCGCGCGACUGGAGCGGCCGAUAUCAGAUUAGGUAGUUGGUAGGUAAGG
rnacentral:rRNA from 1 species